UCGAUGCAUAUGUGGUAAUAUAAUAUACUUAUUUUAUUUAGUAUACAGUUAUAUUAUGUAAUACGAUAGCAUGUUAUUCGAGUUUGUUCGUUCCAUGAUUUUCAGGGGAGACUGUGUGAGGAUAUGGCAAGCAUUGCUAUUCCUUCCUUCGUUCGGAGUACGUAUGGCCCAGCUCGUUCCUACGCCAAGGUCCCAAUUCAACCGAACAACUUUGACUGUGGCAUGUGCGUUAUUAAACUAAUGGAAAGGUGGACAGAAGAUCGUGAACUCUACGAAUGGGACGAGGAUUCACUCAGUUCACACCGGAUGGAGUUGAUGCUGGAUAUUAUUUGUGGCUAACACAAUGCAUUGAUUCACCAGCUUAUUUCAUUGUUGGAGAAAAAGGGUAAACCUGUUCGGCGCAAUGCACCACGGAACAAGAAGAAGGACGUUAGUUCACCAUACACUGCACCUAGCACGAGGUCAUUGAUUGAACGUGCGGAAGGAUUACCGAAGGGGGCACUGCGCAAAGGGAGGAAGAAGUUGCUUACUUAGGUUUAGCUCCAGUGAAUUGAACUACCAUAUUAUGAUUAUUUUA